rnacentral:rRNA from 1 species
GAUGAACGCUGGCGGCGUGCCUAAUACAUGCAAGUCGAGCGAACGGACGAGAAGCUUGCUUCUCUGAUGUUAGCGGCGGACGGGUGAGUAACACGUGGAUAACCUACCUAUAAGACUGGGGUAACUUCGGGAAACCGGAGCUAAUACCGGAUAAUAUUUUGAACCGCAUGGUUCAAAAGUGAAAGACGGUCUUGCUGUCACUUAUAGAUGGAUCCGCGCUGCAUUAGCUAGUUGGUAAGGUAACGGCUUACCAAGGCAACGAUGCAUAGCCGACCUGAGAGGGUGAUCGGCCACACUGGAACUGAGACACGGUCCAGACUCCUACGGGAGGCAGCAGUAGGGAAUCUUCCGCAAUGGGCGAAAGCCUGACGGAGCAACGCCGCGUGAGUGAUGAAGGUCUUCGGAUCGUAAAACUCUGUUAUUAGGGAAGAACAUAUGUGUAAGUAACUGUGCACAUCUUGACGGUACCUAAUCAGAAAGCCACGGCUAACUACGUGCCAGCAGCCGCGGUAAUACGUAGGUGGCAAGCGUUAUCCGGAAUUAUUGGGCGUAAAGCGCGCGUAGGCGGUUUUUUAAGUCUGAUGUGAAAGCCCACGGCUCAACCGUGGAGGGUCAUUGGAAACUGGAAAACUUGAGUGCAGAAGAGGAAAGUGGAAUUCCAUGUGUAGCGGUGAAAUGCGCAGAGAUAUGGAGGAACACCAGUGGCGAAGGCGACUUUCUGGUCUGUAACUGACGCUGAUGUGCGAAAGCGUGGGGAUCAAACAGGAUUAGAUACCCUGGUAGUCCACGCCGUAAACGAUGAGUGCUAAGUGUUAGGGGGUUUCCGCCCCUUAGUGCUGCAGCUAACGCAUUAAGCACUCCGCCUGGGGAGUACGACCGCAAGGUUGAAACUCAAAGGAAUUGACGGGGACCCGCACAAGCGGUGGAGCAUGUGGUUUAAUUCGAAGCAACGCGAAGAACCUUACCAAAUCUUGACAUCCUUUGACAACUCUAGAGAUAGAGCCUUCCCCUUCGGGGGACAAAGUGACAGGUGGUGCAUGGUUGUCGUCAGCUCGUGUCGUGAGAUGUUGGGUUAAGUCCCGCAACGAGCGCAACCCUUAAGCUUAGUUGCCAUCAUUAAGUUGGGCACUCUAAGUUGACUGCCGGUGACAAACCGGAGGAAGGUGGGGAUGACGUCAAAUCAUCAUGCCCCUUAUGAUUUGGGCUACACACGUGCUACAAUGGACAAUACAAAGGGCAGCGAAACCGCGCGGUCAAGCAAAUCCCAUAAAGUUGUUCUCAGUUCGGAUUGUAGUCUGCAACUCGACUACAUGAAGCUGGAAUCGCUAGUAAUCGUAGAUCAGCAUGCUACGGUGAAUACGUUCCCGGGUCU